GACGAACGCUAGCGGCAGGCCUAAUACAUGCAAGUCGAACGGUGUCUUCGGACAUAGUGGCGCACGGGUGCGUAACACGUAUGCAACCUACCUUACAUUGGGGGAUAGCCUUUCGAAAGGGAGAUUAAUACCGCAUAAGACGGUAGCUGGGCAUCCAGCAGCUGUUAAAGAUUUAUCGAUGUAAGCUGGGCAUGCAUCCAAUUAGCUAGUUGGUGAGGUAACGGCUCACCAAGGCAAUGAUUGGUAGGGGAACUGAGAGGUCAAUCCCCCACACUGGCACUGAGAUACGGGCCAGACUCCUACGGGAGGCAGCAGUAGGGAAGAUUGGGCAAUGGACGCAAGUCUGACCCAGCCAUGCCGCGUGCAGGAUGAAGGCGUUAUGCGUUGUAAACUGCUUUUAUACAGGAAGAAACGACUCUUGCGAGAGGCAUUGACGGUACUGUAUGAAUAAGCACCGGCUAACUCCGUGCCAGCCGCCGCCGUAACAC
rnacentral:rRNA from 1 species